rnacentral:rRNA from 1 species
UGGGGAAUUGUUCGCAAUGGGCGCAAGCCUGACGACGCAACGCCGCGUGGAGGACGAAGAUCUUCGGGUCGUAAACUCCUGUCGAGCGGGAAGAAGGCUCCGCGGUUGAACAGACCGCGGAAUUGACGGUACCGCUAAAGGAAGCCCCGGCUAACUCCGUGCCAGCAGCCGCGGUAAUACGGGGGGGGCAAGCGUUGUUCGGAAUUACUGGGCGUAAAGGGCUCGUAGGCGGCCAACUAAGUCGGAUGUGAAAUCCCCAGGCUUAACCUGGGAACUGCAUCCGAUACUGGAUGGCUUGAAUCCGGGAGAGGGAUGCAGAAUUCCAGGUGUAGCGGUGAAAUGCGUAGAUAUCUGGGGGAAUACCGGUGGCGAAGGCGGCAUCCUGGACCGGCAUUGACGCUGAUGAGCGAAAGCUAGGGGAGCAAACGG